UACAGAGGUCCCAAGCGUUGUUCGGAUUCACUGGGCGUAAAGAGCGUGUAGGCGGCCAGACAGGUCCGUUGUGAAAACUAGAGGCUUAACCUCUAGACGUCGAUGGAAACCGUCUGGCUAGAGUCCGGAAGAGGAGAAUGGAAUUCCUGGUGUAGCGGUGAAAUGCGCAGAUAUCAGGAAGAACACCCGUGGCUAAGGCGGUUCUCUAGUACGGUACUGACGCUGAGACGCGAAAGCGUGGGGAGCGAACAGG
rnacentral:rRNA from 1 species